CCUACGGGGGGCUGCAGUGGGGAAUAUUGGACAAUGGGGGGAACCCUGAUCCAGCCAUGCCGCGUGUGUGAAGAAGGCCCUCGGGUGGUAAAGCACUUUCAGUGAGGAAGAACGCCUGGUGGUUAAUACCCAUCAGGAAAGACAUCACUCACAGAAGAAGCACCGGCUAACUCCGUGCCAGCAGCCGCGGUAAUACGGAGGGUGCGAGCGUUAAUCGGAAUUACUGGGCGUAAAGCGCGCGUAGGUGGCUUGAUAAGCCGGUUGUGAAAGCCCCGGGCUCAACCUGGGAACGGCAUCCGGAACUGUCAAGCUAGAGUGCAGGAGAGGAAGGUAGAAUUCCCGGUGUAGCGGUGAAAUGCGUAGAGAUCGGGAGGAAUACCAGUGGCGAAGGCGGCCUUCUGGACUGACACUGACACUAAGGUGCGAAAGCGUGGGUAGCAAACAGGAUUAGAUACCCUUGUAGUC
rnacentral:rRNA from 1 species